rnacentral:rRNA from 1 species
CCUACGGGAGGCUGCAGUGAGGAAUAUUGGUCAAUGGGCUUACGCCUGAACCAGCCAAGUCGCGUGAGGGAAGACUGCCCUAUGGGUUGUAAACCUCUUUUGUCAGGGAGCAAUUGGCGCUACGUGUAGCGUUAUCGAUAGUACCUGAAGAAAAAGCAUCGGCUAACUCCGUGCCAGCAGCCGCGGUAAUACGGAGGAUGCGAGCGUUAUCCGGAUUUAUUGGGUUUAAAGGGUGCGUAGGCGGAAUGCCAAGUCAGCGGUAAAAUCGCGGGGUUCAACCUCGCUCCGCCGUUGAAACUGGCGGUCUUGAGUGGGCGAGAAGUAUGCGGAAUGCGUGGUGUAGCGGUGAAAUGCAUAGAUAUCACGCAGAACUCCGAUUGCGAAGGCAGCAUACCGGCGCCCAACUGACGCUGAAGCACGAAAGCGUGGGUAUCGAACAGGAUUAGAUACCCUAGUAGUC